rnacentral:rRNA from 1 species
CGGGUGAGUAACACGUGAGUGACCUGCCUUUUAGACUGGAACAACUUACCGAAAGGUGAGCUAAUGCCGGAUGAGUUAUAUAAGUGCAUGUUUAUAUAGGAAAAGUUGGGAGACCUGACGCUGAAAGAUGGACUCGCGUCCCAUUAGCUAGUUGGUAGGGUAAUGGCCCACCAAGGCGACGAUGGGUAGCCGGCCUGAGAGGGUGGCCGGCCACACUGGGACUGAGACACGGCCCAGACUCCUACGGAAGGCAGCAG